UCUUUUUUUUCGCUCUCCCCGACUCAAUUCUCUUGCUUCAUCUCGCCCAGUUCUUUGUUCUUGUUGUCUUCCUUCAUCCAUUAUUGUUUCUUCUUCAGUUCUUGAUUGCCCUGAUUACUUUCUAUGCGCAUUGCAGAUCUGUGGUGACGUUUUUAUGUCUUUGCAAAUGGAGGAGUUUCUGUUGACAGAGAUCUGCUUGACGUCUCCUCUCUUAGAAAUUCCGCCCGACCCUCUUCCAUUCUUCAAUUCAUAAUUUAUCCAGAAAGAACCCCCAUAAAUUUUCCAAUUCUAUCCAUCAACACCCUAACUCAAAAAUUAUCCAAAUUUCCUUGUGUUAUCAGGGUUGUUUUGAAGAAAGCAUUUGUGGCAGGGGCUCAACUGGAGCAAUGUGUUAUUGUUGAGUCAUAGAGAAGAAGCCUGAUUUGGAGCAAUUGGAGGCCAAUUCGAGGGGCAAAGGCAUCGCGGGCCAGAGUUUGGACCGGAUUGAGGUUGCUUUGCCAGAAAAACCAGACAAAAAAGAUGAGGCACUACUCACAAAAAUGGAGGUGGAAAGUAAAACUGUCAAGAGAAAGAAUAGAUGCAGGCCCUCACAAUAAAGUGAUGUCAGGCCCAGCAGAGUUGUAAGUAAGUCAUAUAAUUUCUACUUCAGGUAAAUUUGCUUCUCCAUGGUUGAACUUGUAGCACACAAAAUGGAAGAUGAAUGUUUCUCUUGCCCAUACAACCUUGAUUUCCAAGGUCACGCAUAACCUAUGCAUCUAACUUAAGUCUCCUUGGUUCUGAAAUAUGUAAGGUUGUCCUAGCGUUUGCAGAGGGACCGAAAAGUUAGGCUUCCACUGAUUGAAGAUACACUUGAUAAAUCUAUUUUACUGGUGGCGUGGGGAAUUCAUCUCUCUAGGGUAAUGACAUAAUAAUUCAGCAGGCAAACCACUCGAAGGAAGGAAUUAGUGGUUGGACGUAGAGGACCCAUUUCAGCCUGGUUGUAUGCAUCAGUCUUAGUGAAACUAUUAGAAUCUCAUCCCUAAAGUCGACUACUCAUAUUCCUAUGCACCAGGUCUCUCUGGUUGCAGCAUUCGAGCUGCUAAGCAGCACGAUGCUCGUAUUGCUCUCCUACAAUUCCGUUUUCACGGUUUAGGCUACUCCCAUUUCGCUAGGUCAAUUUGAAGUUGUAGCAGGAAAAGAAUGUACUAUGUAUUGCAGGAAGAACAAUGAAUCUUAAGAUGGAGAUGACCCAAGAUAUGUUGGUUUAAGGGAAUUUCCUUCUAGAAACUGAAAUGUCUACUGAAAUAAUAGCACAUGUUUGUUUUACAUGGAACUCUUUUUAUUUAAUCUAUGUACUAUGAUGUAACUUCUUUUGAUUCGUGAGGACAAGUAUGAAGGAGCUGACAUUUUUCAGUGGUACAAAAUUCUUGCGAAACUGUGCAUGCCUGUUAAUUUGGUUAUGUAAUUUCGUUCAUUAAUAGUGUAAACUGUUGUAUAGUUGCAUAUAUCUGAUUUGAUAAUAAUUUAUAUGCAUCAA